rnacentral:rRNA from 1 species
AUGGUACCACUCUCCUACGCGCCACCGCUACCGCCGCCGCAGUCGCGACCGAACCCCAGCCCUAGCCACAAGCCCAAGCCCCAGCCGUGCGUGCUUCUCUUCCCCGCCGCCCUCCGCACGGCGGCCGCGGCGGCCGCCAUCUCCUUCUCCCUCCUCGCGGGCAACGCCGCGGCUGUGGCGCCGGUGGAGCAGCCCCCGGAGAUAUGCCGCGGCCAGGACGACGGGAGGGAGGUGGAGGUGAAGGCCGAGGCGGUGACGAACGAGCAGCUCGUGGAGGAGGCGUGGGAGGUGGUCAACGAGGGCUUCCUCCCCGACGCCGGCAGCCGCCCGUGGUCACCGGAGCUGUGGAUGCAACGGAAGCAAGAUAUUCUUCAAGGCUCAAUCAAAUCCCGCUCUAGAGCCCACGACAUCAUCACGAAAAUGCUAGCUAGCCUGGGUGAUCCAUAUACAAGAUUCCUGUCGUCCUCAGAUUUCUCAAAGAUGUCAAAGUAUGACAUGACUGGUAUUGGGUUGAACUUACGAGAGAUUCCUGAUGACAAUGGUUCUUUAAGAUUGGUGGUAUUAGGACUGAUACUAGAUGGGCCUGCUCACUCUGCUGGUGUUAGACAGGGUGAUGAGCUUAUGUCUGUCAAUGGUAUCGAUGUAAGAGGUAAAUCUGCAUUUGACGUGUCAUCGAUGCUGCAAGGCCCAAAGGAAACUUUUGUUACAAUUAAGGUUAAGCAUGGCAACUGUGGUCCUGUUGAGUCAAUGAAAGUGCAAAGACAGAUGGCUGCUCGCACUCCAAUUUUCUAUCGUUUGGAGAAAAGAGACAAUGAGAAUUCAUCUGUCGGAUAUAUUCACAUUAAAGAGUUCAAUGCAGUGGCCAAAAAAGAUUUGGUCAGCGCACUGAAACGUCUACAGAAUUCAGGUGCCUCCUAUUUUGUUUUGGACCUGAGGGACAAUCUUGGUGGACUAGUGCAAGCUGGAAUAGAGAUUGCAAAGCUCUUCUUGAACAAAGGAGACACGGUCAUUUAUACUACUGGCCGGGAUCGUCAAGUCCAAAAUACAAUUGUUGCUGACAGUGGACCUUUGGUUACAACUCCUGUGAUGGUACUGGUGAACAAUAGGACAGCGAGUGCCAGCGAAAUAGUUGCUUCAGCACUUCAUGACAAUUGCAAAGCCGUUCUUGUUGGCGAAAGGACUUUUGGCAAGGGCUUAAUCCAGUCUGUAUUUGAACUUCAUGAUGGUUCUGGUAUUGUCGUCACAGUUGGCAAAUAUGUCACGCCAAAUCACAAAGACAUCAAUGGAGAUGGAAUAGAACCAGACUACCGCCGUCUUCCUGAUCUCAAUGAAGCCAGAGAUUAUCUUAUGCGUUGCCAAAGCAAGAAAUUAAAUUGA